rnacentral:rRNA from 1 species
UGGGGAAUUUUGCACAAUGGGGGAAACCCUGAUGCAGCGACGCCGCGUUAUUUAGAAGGCCUUCGGGUUGUAAAAAUCUUUUUUACGGGAUGAAAAUGACAGUACCGUAAGAAUAAGGUCCGGCUAAAUACGUGCCAGCAGCCGCGGUAAUACGUAUGGACCGAGCGUUGUCCGGAAUCAUUGGGCGUAAAGGGUACGUAGGCGGCCUAGUAAGUUAGAAGUGAAAUAAUAUAGCUCAACUAUAUAAAGCUUUUAAAACUGCUAGGCUUGAGAGAUGGAAGGGAAAGUGGAAUUCCUAGUGUAGCGGUGAAAUGCGCAGAUAUUAGGAAGAAUACCGGUGGCGAAGGCGACUUUCUGGUCAUCAUCUGACGCUGAGGUACGAAAGCGUGGGUAGCAAACAGG